rnacentral:rRNA from 1 species
ACGGGAGGCAGCAGUGGGGAAUAUUGGGCAAUGGGGGAAACCCUGACCCAGCAACGCCGCGUGAAGGAAGAAGGCCUUCGGGUUGUAAACUUCUUUUACCAGGGACGAAGAAUGACGGUACCUGGAGAAAAAGCAGCGGCUAACUACGUGCCAGCAGCCGCGGUAAUACGGAGGUUGCAAGCGUUGUCCGGAUUUACUGGGUGUAAAGGGCGUGUAGGCGGAGCUGCAAGUCAGAUGUGAAAUCCCGGGGCUCAACCCCGGAACUGCAUUUGAAACUGUAGCCCUUGAGUAUCGGAGAGGCAAGCGGAAUUCCUAGUGUAGCGGUGAAAUGCGUAGAUAUUAGGUGGAACACCAGUGGCGAAGGCGGCUUACUGGACGAUAACUGACGUUGAGGCUCGAAAGCGUGGGGAGCAAACAGGAUUAGAUACCCUGGUA